rnacentral:lncRNA from 7 species
AUUCAGUCUUAGGGAUUGCUUUCAUUCAGCAAGGCAAAAAGGCUUUGAGCAGUCCCACAAUUGCCUUAGUCUCAUUUAUUUGUGGUAGUAUUAAGGUUUAUUUGUUUUCUGGUUUGCACUUCUUCUGAAAUUAUUUCUUAGUUUAUUCAUUUAACAAAAUGUUCCUUCCUAUGUCAAAGAAGAAAGUGCCUACAAGGCCUAGAUAGGUUCUUCAGUCUGCAGACCUCCCUUUGAGAACAUUUCUUCCAACUCACAUUGCUGGAGCUCCUAAAUAUCUUUCAAGGGCUCCUCCAUUCUUUGAAGCUCAAGAAAUAUAUCACAGUUGUUUUUUUGGGGGGAUCAGGCUCUUCUCUGCAUGAUUUCUGCAUCAGCCAUUCCGGAAAUUUGAAGAUGAGUUGUCUGCAAAAAGAAAAAGAAACAAAACUUCUCUUGUGAAACUUUCUCACCUUUCUGACUGGAUGAAGACAGGUCCUGAAACAUGCCGGGCUGAGAAGAGCUACUCAAAAAAAUAAUUGAACAUGCUGGCCUAUUUACUUACUAUUUACUUUACUUCUUACUUAAGAAGUUCCAAGAAUAUCACUGCUAAGAGUCCUGGCUCAAGCCCUGCAAUGAUGUCAACAACAAAUAACAUUUCCAGUCCAGGAUGAACAUAUGCAUCCAUUUUUUCAGCAAGGAGUAGAAGUUUCAGGAGGUUGUCAAUUUGAAGAUAUUCUCAUCUUAAUCAUUACAUCAUUUGCUUUGUUCAUUAUUAUCCAGGUGACACCAAGGAAUUGCAUAAAUAAGGAAUACUGCCACGCAAAUGAUGAGGUACAGCAAAUGACAUCAGCAAAUUACAAAACAGCCCCUGCAAGUUAUACAAGGAGACAGAGAAUCCAUUCCACAUGAUCAGGAAGAACAAAGUGAUAAUAAAAGCAGGUUUUAUGGAGGUUAUGUCUCACAGCUCUUUAGGUCAGAUAAUAAUGUGCUAUGUCAUUAAGAUGUGGUAUCACUUUCCUGACUAUUGCAAUUGAUGGUUCAUGAUAUGAAUAGACAAUAAAGCAAGCAGUAUGUUUUGAGAUCCUCAU